GAUGAACGCUGGCGGCGUGCCUAAUACAUGCAAGUCGAGCGAAUGGAUUAAGAGCUUGCUCUUAUGAAGUUAGCGGCGGACGGGUGAGUAACACGUGGGUAACCUGCCCAUAAGACUGGGAUAACUCCGGGAAACCGGGGCUAAUACCGGAUAACAUUUUGAACCGCAUGGUUCGAAAUUGAAAGGCGGCUUCGGCUGUCACUUAUGGAUGGACCCGCGUCGCAUUAGCUAGUUGGUGAGGUAACGGCUCACCAAGGCAACGAUGCGUAGCCGACCUGGGAGGGUGAUCGGCACACUGGGACUGGGACACGGCCCAGACUCCUACGGGAGGCAGCAGUAGGGAAUCUUCCGCAAUGGACGAAAGUCUGACGGAGCAACGCCGCGUGAGUGAUGAAGGCUUUCGGGUCGUAAAACUCUGUUGUUAGGGAAGAACAAGUGCUAGUUGAAUAAGCUGGCACCUUGACGGUACCUAACCAGAAAGCCACGGCUAACUACGUGCCAGCCGCCGCUGUAA
rnacentral:rRNA from 1 species